rnacentral:rRNA from 1 species
UCCUGGUAAAAUCGGGUAGCUUAACUAUCUGCAUGCUAGGAAUACUGCUAUACUAGAGGGCGGGAGAGGUCUGAGGCACUACAGGGGUAGGGGUGAAAUCUUAUAAUCCUUGUAGGACCACCAGUGGCGAAGGCGUCAGACUGGAACGUGCCUGACGGUGAGGGACGAAAGCCAGGGGAGCGAACCGGAUUAGAUACCCGGGUAGUCCUGGCCGUAAACGAUGCAUACUAGGUGAUGGCAUGGCCAUGAGCCGUGUCAGUGCCGUAGGGAAACCGUUAAGUGUGCCGCCUGGGAAGUACGGUCGCAAGGCUAAAACUUAAAGGAAUUGGCGGGGGAGCACCACAAGGGGUGAAGCCUGCGGUUCAAUUGGACUCAACGCCGGGAAACUUACCAGGGGAGACAGCAGAAUGAUGGUCAGGUUGACGACCUUACCUGACGAGCUGAGAGGAGGUGCAUGGCCGUCGCCAGUUCGUGCUGUGAGGUAUCCUGUUAAGUCAGGCAACGAACGAGAUCCGCGCCAUUAUUUGCCAGCAAGAAGUCACGACUUCGUUGGGAGCACUAAAGGGACCGCCGUCGAUAAGACGGAGGAAGGAGCGGGCAAAGGCAGGUCAGUAUGCCCCGAAACCCCUGGGCUACACGCGGGCUGCAAUGGUAUGAACAAUGGGCUGUGACUCCGAAAGGAGAAACCAAUCCCGAAAUCAUAUCUCAGUGGGGAUUGUCGGCUGUAACCCGCUGACAUGAACGUGGAAUCCCUAGUAAUCGUGUGUCAUC